rnacentral:rRNA from 1 species
UACGUAGGGUCCGAGCGUUGUCCGGAAUUACUGGGCGUAAAGAGCUCGUAAGUGGUUUGUCGCGUUGUCCGUGAAAACUCACAGCUCAACUGUGGGCGUGCGGGCGAUACGGGCAGACUGGAGUACUGCAGGGGAGACUGGAAUUCCUGGUGUAGCGGUGAAAUGCGCAGAUAUCAGGAGGAACACCGGUGGCGAAGGCGGGUCUCUGGGCCGAUACUGACGCUGAGGAGCGAAAGCGUGGGGAGCGAACAGG